rnacentral:rRNA from 1 species
AUGAACGCUGGCGGCGUGCCUAAUACAUGCAAGUCGAGCGAACAGAUGAGGAGCUUGCUCCUCUGACGUUAGCGGCGGACGGGUGAGUAACACGUGGAUAACCUACCUAUAAGACUGGGAUAACUUCGGGAAACCGGAGCUAAUACCGGAUAAUAUAUUGAACCGCAUGGUUCAAUAGUGAAAGACGGUUUUGCUGUCACUUAUAGAUGGAUCCGCGCCGCAUUAGCUAGUUGGUAAGGUAACGGCUUACCAAGGCGACGAUGCGUAGCCGACCUGAGAGGGUGAUCGGCCACACUGGAACUGAGACACGGUCCAGACUCCUACGGGAGGCAGCAGUAGGGAAUCUUCCGCAAUGGGCGAAAGCCUGACGGAGCAACGCCGCGUGAGUGAUGAAGGUCUUCGGAUCGUAAAACCCUGUUAUUAGGGAAGAACAAAUGUGUAAGUAACUAUGCACGUCUUGACGGUACCUAAUCAGAAAGCCACGGCUAACUACGU